rnacentral:rRNA from 1 species
UAGGGAAUCUUCCGCAAUGGACGCAAGUCUGACGGAGCAACGCCGCGUGAGUGAAGAAGGAUUUCGGUUCGUAAAACUCUGUUGUUAGAGAAGAACAGCGCAUAGAGUAACUGUUAUGCGUGUGACGGUAUCUAACCAGAAAGCCACGGCUAACUACGUGCCAGCAGCCGCGGUAAUACGUAGGUGGCAAGCGUUGUCCGGAUUUAUUGGGCGUAAAGCGAGCGCAGGCGGUCAAUUAAGUCUGGUGUGAAAGCCCCCGGCUCAACCGGGGAGGGUCAUUGGAAACUGGUUGACUUGAGUGCAGAAGAAGAGAGUGGAAUUCCGUGUGUAGGGGUGAAAUGCGUAGAUAUAUGGAGGAACACCAGUGGCGAAGGCGACUCUCAGGUCUGUAACUGACGCUGAGGCUCGAAAGCGUGGGUAGCAAACAGG